UACGGAGGGGGCGAGCGUUGUCCGAAGUUACUGGGCGUAAAGCGCGCGUAGGCGGGGAGCCAAGUCCGCUGUGAAAGCCCGGAGCUCAACUCCGGCGGGUCGGUGGAUACUGGUUGUCUUGAAGGUGCUAGGGGGAGAUGGAAUUACCGGUGUAGCGGUGAAAUGCGUAGAGAUCGGUAGGAACACCAGUGGCGAAGGCGGUCUCCUGGGGCAUUCUUGACGCUGAGGCGCGAAAGCUGGGGGAGCGAACGGG
rnacentral:rRNA from 1 species